rnacentral:rRNA from 1 species
AACGAACGCUGGCGGCAUGCCUAACACAUGCAAGUCGAACGAGACCUUCGGGUCUAGUGGCGCACGGGUGCGUAACGCGUGGGAAUCUGCCUUUAGGUUCGGAAUAACAGUUAGAAAUGACUGCUAAUACCGGAUAAUGACUUCGGUCCAAAGAUUUAUCGCCUAAGGAUGAGCCCGCGUAAGAUUAGCUAGUUGGUGAGGUAAAAGCUCACCAAGGCGACGAUCUUUAGCUGGCUGAGAGGAUGAUCAGCCACACUGGGACUGAGACACGGCCCAGACUCCUACGGGAGGCAGCAGUGGGGAAUAUUGGACAAUGGGCGAAAGCCUGAUCCAGCAAUGCCGCGUGAGUGAUGAAGGCCUUAGGGUUGU